rnacentral:misc_RNA from 1 species
GCAUAUGACUACUGGCAGGAUCAACCAGGUAGCAUUCCUCACUCGACAUCAAACAACGCAUGAGACGCUCCGCAAGGGUUCGUUCAACACGUGCAUGAUUGUCGUUCGCACGAAGCGUGGGACGCUCGAUUCGGGGCAACUCAAGGUUUCGUGACCUCGCGCCCGCUCAAUGUUCCGUACCCGAGAGACCACGCACAACAUCAUGGUUCAACAAUUCAAGCACAYCUUKGUGGCAUGAAAAGUGAAACACAACGAGUGCUACAAAGUCCACCCAACGCCGAAUCYCGAAAGGUUCGACGGUGGAUGGAUGACAGAAGAUUCCAACAAACAAAUGCCCUCAAAUUAGGAACGCAGCACAGGAAACCAAAAACGAGCAAGACGUGCCAAAUCCGACAACUGAAAAGGCGUGCAGAACACAUUGUCCCUGCUCAAGCAAGGAUCCAACGUGCCAAUACAAACCAAACACCACUCA